rnacentral:rRNA from 1 species
GACGAACGCUGGCGGCGUGCUUAACACAUGCAAGUCGAGCGGUAAGGCCCUUUCGGGGUACGACGAGCGGCGAACGGGUGAGUAACACGUGGGUGACCUGCCCUCAGCUCUGGGAUAAGCCUGGGAAACCGGGUCUAAUACUGGAUAUGACUCCAUGACGCAUGUUGUGGGGUGGAAAGCCUUGUGCGGCUGAGGAUGGGCCCGCGGCCUAUCAGCUUGUUGGUGGGGUGAGGCCUACCAAGGCGACGACGGGUAGCCGGCCUGAGAGGGCGACCGGCCACACUGGGACUGAGACACGGCCCAGACUCCUACGGGAGGCAGCAGGUGGGGAAUCUUGCGCAAUGGGCGAAAGCCUGACGCAGCGACGCCGCGUGAGGGAUGACGGCCUCGG